CAGGUCUAGAACACUUCCCAAACUCUGUCAGUCAAACACCGGCACCUAACAAAUUAAGGCCUAAACCACUUAAAUAGAACUAACCAGAACAAGAAGUUUUUGGAAAGAUAAACAGUUUCUAGAACAAAAAAGAGGAAAUCUUUAAGAAAAGUAAAACAAAACCCAAAAAAUAUUGUAGGAUACAGUAAUAAUUUUAAAUACUUAGGAGAAUGCUCUGGAAUCAACACCAAACUGGAUUACAGUUGACAAAAAAAGCCAUUUUGCCUUCCUGUUUUCAAGGCAGCCAAAUUCACAUCAUCUGUGAAAUGUUUGUCACCCGAGUACCUUUACAAAGAUACAGGUGGAGGAUGUAUAACAGCACUGGUGUUUUACUGGGCUGCAGUGCCUGAAAGGAAAAGUCGUCAAAUCCCUACUGGUAUAUGCUCACAUAAGCUUCAUUCCUG